rnacentral:lncRNA from 1 species
GUGAAAUAUAAAAAAAUAUAAUAUACUAGUAUAAAAUAUUCAUGAGAUAUUUUAUGUUAUUUUUUGUUUUUCUUUUUUCUUUUUUUUUUUUUUGAGGAAGAUUAGCCCUGAGCUAACUACUGCCAAUCCUCCUCUUUUUGCUGAGGAAGACUGGCCCUGAGCUAACAUCCGUGCCUCUCUUCCUCUGCUUUAUACGUGGGAUGCCUACCACAGCAUGGCUUUUUGCCAAGUGGUGCUGUCUCCGCACCCGGGAUCUGAACCGGCGAACCCCAGGACACCAAGAAGUGGGACAUGCAAACUUAACUGCUGUGCCACCAGGCCAGCCCCUUGUUUUUCAUUUAAAUGCUCGAAAUCUAGAGCACAUUUUAUACUUAUAGCACAUCUCAAUUUGAACUAGCCACAUUUCAUAUGCUCAAUGACCACAUGUGGCUUCUGGAUUAGACAGUGCAGGUCUACCCCAGAAGCUCUCAGCUGGGGGAAACCCCUUCCCCUGAGGGUGUCUGCCACUGUCUGAAGAUAGUGUUGAUUGUCACAAGUGGAGUGGGUGCUACCGGUAUCUAGUGGGUGGAGGCCAGGGAUGCUGCGAUGCAUCCCACAAUGCACAGGAGAGCCCCCACAACAAAGAAUGAUCUGUCCCAAGGUGUCAAUAGUGCCAAGAUUGAGAAACCCUAGUCUAGACCAAUCCCCCUCCUCCUUUCGUUCUCAGUGGUGGGAAUGAGGCCCCGAGAGCCAGGUGCUGACAGGACAGGUGCUGACACCAGGUCUCCCGAUUUAGCCCCAGGGCAUUCCCUCCAUCCCCCGUGGCCUCCUUCAGGCACAUGAUGGUAGCAGAUGUCUCCAACUCUCCUUCCAGCACAGCUCCAGAGAUGAACAUAAGUGAUAGGGCACGAGCCACAGGCAAGACACCAACCCCCAACAAAGUUCCACAGCACAGAAGUUUCUUUUGUGUUACGUGAAAAUUUAGGGAAAAUUCAUACGCUUGUCAGAACCUGAAGACAAGCCCGAGAGACAAAGGAACUGCUGAAACCAGCAGGAAUUCUGCAGCUGACACUGGGCCAACUCUGGAUGAGGCCUUCAAAGCAUGGGGUGUCAGAGGGGAGCAUCUCCCAAUAAGGUCGAGUUUCUUACCCAACUACCAGACGACCAGGAACUGUUUUCUGAAUGUCCAUUUAAAUGUUUAUUCUCAUCAGUCAGUGAAAAGUACUUUUCUGUGACUGGAAGCCACGGCUUAGAAACACAAUGACCAAAUGUGUUUGCCUCCCUUGAUCUCCUUAGGGACCCUUUCUCACCCACCCUCUUAGGUAUGCGGAUACGGACUUCUUGAAAUGUUUGUAGAAAUUGGGAGGGGAAUGAGUGAGUGAAUGCAUGAAUGAAUUGCAUAGAGCAGCUUCGGAUAUAAACUGGCCUUUCUUCCCAUUCAUUUCCCUGUUAAGUAACCUGGUUCUUUUACAGUUGUUCACUCCUGACCUUUGGCCUCCUCUGCUGGUGUUGCUGCUUCUCACCGUCUUUUCUGUGUCCAGCCCCAUUCUGCAUUCCUGAGUGUGUCUGUUGACGGCCUGAUUCCAUGUAGGGAAGUGAUGCUGUGAGAGUUCCCUGGACACCUUCCUCCCCAGCCAUGGGCCUGGCCUUGGGACUCCCUACAAAAAACUUCCUUUCCCUGUGUCCCACGCUCCUGGAGACAUUCAGACCUCACUUCCUGCAUCUGUGACCUCUGAGCACUCCUUGAGCCUGUCCAACCUCCCCGGGGAGAAGACACCCUUUCUGUGUGUUUCUGCCAACCAAGAGCCCUUCAGCCUACGCGAGGCAUGCUUUAUACCUGUGGAUAUAGUUGCUGGUUGACAAACCCUAGGCAGCCAUCCGUUCACCCAGUUCGUGUUUUAUUUCAAGACCCUUGCUCCCUUUUGCCCACCUUUACGUGUUUCGCUGCUCAUCAGCCCAGUAGAGGAUAAGCAAGCAGAACUCAAACUGGCUCCAGCCAUUUUGUCGUUAGCACGUGUGAAAGAGGGUUAGAAAGGAGCUUAGAGCUGUCUGAAAAUGAGAUUGGCGGAGAAGCUGUGUGACUCUCACACAUGGCUCCUUUCCCAGUGGGGUGUGUUUGUCAUGGGCUGACCACUGGUGCUUGGGCCCCAAAGAGCCACAGAUGUCAAGGAGCCGAAUGACACUUGGGAAUUCCCAGCCUUCUGACCCAUGCUUGCACCCUGGCUUUCUCCCUCCACAGUCCGUAUUUUUCUCAGGCCACCAGUAGGAGAUCAAGAGGUCUCUAACUCCACUGCGUGUGCUGGAUGACAGGUCACUGGGUUUCAGGAUGACAGUCCCAGCUCUGGGAUGUGGAAAAUAUGAUGCCUUAAGCUGAGAACUGCAAGCCUGUCUUGGAAUAGAGGAAGGGCACAUUGUUUGGAGAUGGAUCAACCUAUUUACUGAUCACCAGCUGUGGGGACAAAUUCUUGGUCUCACACAGCAGCUAGCUUCAAGGGCAUGGCCACUACACCAACUCCCAGUUCUGUGCGGCUGACCAGUGGCCUCAUACAAUUGGUACGUCUGCAGAGAGCAGACUCUUCUGUUCACUGACAAGUACGGAUUUAGCUCUUUCUAGAUGCUGAGAGCUGCUCUCCUUGGGAAGUUAAAAGAUGGCUUUUGAAAGCUAUUUUCCUUUCCUCUUUCUCAUCUCCUCAUUAUUUUAUUUACUGUAAAUAACAUAUAUAAUGUCUUUUUUAAAUGAGAUGAAGCCCAGAAUCUAAGGAUCUGUUUUAAGCACAAUGGGUGUCUCCAGAUCACUCACAAGAACUCAGCUUCAUCUCAACUGUCUCUUGGCUCUCAUUAGCUGGAGUACAAGCCCUGUGUGUGCAGGGGGCGGUUGCUCACGUGCCCUCAGCAUCUCUGGGGCAGCUGGGCAGGGGCAGGAAGUGGCAGACAGAGGAUUCUUCUCUGCUGCUGUGCAGCUGUUUACAAACCGCCUCCCCACAUAGGCAGCUCCUGCAGCUGGAGUGGGUUGCAAGCUAUUAUGCAACAUGGCCACGUGCUGCAGACAGAUGCCAGGACCAAUGUAAACCCUAUAAUGCAAACACUAAAAUUAGUAGGAGAAACCGUUCACUUUGCAUCCAGGUCCUGGUUUCAUGGUCGUCUUUGCUGACCCAGCACAUCACUUUAGCUGAAUUUUAAUGAAAACAUUUUUGGACAGAGAUGAGUGUCCCAGGUGCUUUCAUUAAACUGAUGUCAAGGUGUCGUUGACCCAGUUUCUCAAAGGGACACAGUGCUUCCUCUGCUGGGCGUAGAAUGACUGUUUAUUCCUGGAAGUGGACAUGAGGAAGUGACUGUCGAAGGAAUGUCACAUCUCACUCUUUCUGCUCCAUCUGCUUGCUCUGCUGUCUUUGUUUUUAUUUUAAGACAAAACAACGUUUGGGUGGAGGGUGAGUCUCCGAGGAAGUAAUUUUCAGAGGGAGAAUAUGGGCACGUCGACACAGGGAAAACCUUAUGUUUUAACUCCAUUUAUUUUUCUGGGCUUUUUUCUAUUGUGGCUUUAAAAGUUGGAAAUUCAGAGAGCCUUCAGAAGACAGCCGGUCUGCUUUAAUGGUACACAAAUAGAUCUUAAAGCCCCCCCGUCCCCCAGCUCAUCUGUGUUGGAGAACUGUGAAGCUAAGCAGAGCUAGAAAAGCCGCUGUGUGCACGGCGGCCAGCGGCCGCUGGACCCGAGUCUGUGAAUCCUGGCGCUCGCAGACGUUACUGCAAGUCAUUACCACUCACUUUUGCACGCCUCGCAGCAUCUCCCGAAAAGAAAACACACUCAGACGCUGGGUCUGGUCUUUCUCUCCUUCUGUGUAGUUUCCAGGCCUCUGCUUUGCUGUCCCCUUGCUUCCCCCAGAGCCGCUGCGCAGUCUUGGUAGGGCGGCAGCAGGAAGCGGGACACGGCGCCUCAUGCUCUGUAUGCUUCCCAAGGAGGCCGUGUGGGAAGCCGGGCUGACUUUCCUCCCUGUUGUCCUACCCUGUGCCUGCAGCCCCCAGAUUUCUCUCUUGGCACUUAUCUUAUUUCCUAACAGAUUUCCAAACAUAGAGCUAAGUUCAGAUCAUGAAAGAGCGUUCCUCGAGGAAGGCCCAGGCUGGGGCCGGGCAUCGGGAGCCUGCCCCUGGGGUCGCUUAGCAAGGCCCUUUUGCCCACUCUGCCCGACUUCACAGAGUGCCCUCCUGGCUCCGCCCCCUCUCUCCACUGAAGGUGGCGCACUGGGAAAACAAGCAGGCCUGUUUGCCUUUCUCUUUCAACACUCCAGGGUUAUCGCAAGUCCAGAAGGGUUCAGAUGGUCACGCAGCUCCUGCCUGCAGAGGACACGUGGGAGAUGGAAGAACUGGCACUUCGGUGCCCUCAAGAGGUGGUACAAACUGAAACAUAAUCUGGUGCAUAAAAGAGUUUAGAAUGACUCAUAAGUGACCAGUUUAUAGACUUUUCAAAGGGACCCGGGAAUAUUUGUAUGGAAGCCUCUACUAUGUACAAAGGGGACAGAAGGAUGAGGCAGAUAAGGUCCUUGUUCUGAAAGAGCCUACAAUCCGGGAAGGAGAUGAGAUGUGCGUCCACGUGGCUAGCAGAUGAGAGAGGAGACGAGCCUGCCUGCUCCCCUGCUUCGAGGCUUUUCUCAGCACAAAGGAGCACGAAUCAGCCUUCAGCGUCUUGAAGAGCAAUGAAUAUGUUUGCUGAAAGAUUCUGGAGGGAGCUGGCAAGGGGUGAGGGACCAGGCAUCACAUGGACCAAUACAGUGAAGACUUCUCGAAAAAAAAUCCUCUACCCAUCUGCCUCGCAGGUUCCAGGUCUCCCGGUGAUGGCUGAAAAUCCUUCCUCUCUUGGAGUCAGGCCUCCUGCUGCUUGGCCGGCUCCUUCCUCCCUCCCUCCCCUUUGUCAACAUCACACCACAUUCCCGCUGCCCCCCACGCCAGCCCCACAGAUGCUGUCUUUGCUUCUCUGUGCUGCUUUCUUCAGCUGGCUCUUUUCAGUAGCCCUCUUGGCCCAUCUUGGUCUCCGCAGGUUCUUUCCACCAUCAGCCAGUGAGGCCUCAGUGGGGAGGGGCAAACACAGGGGCCUCCUUGGGGAUGAACUAUACCUGAGCCCAGCGCUCCGAGAGAACAGUGAAGGUUAAUCCCGUGAUGUCUGUGACUGAAAUCUCCCAUCCUUUUAUGCUCUGGGAAAUGGCUUACCACAGAGAACCAUCCUUCCCCACGUGCCUUAAAUAAGACCCACUGUUACGGGCUGAUGUGUCCCCCCAAAUUCAUAUGUUGAAGUGCUAACUCCCAGCCCCUCAGAAUGUGACUGCAUUUGGAGAUGGGGUUUGAAAGAGGUGAUUGAUUUAAAAUGAGGUCAAAAGAGGGGGGCCUUAAUCCAAUAUGACUGGUGUUCCUGUAAGAAGAGGAGAUCAGGACACAGACACACACCAUGUGAGGGAAGAUCACGUGAGGCCCCAGGGAGGAGACGGCCAUCUGCAAGACAAGGAGAGAGGCUGCGGGAGGAAACAGCCCAGCUGACACCUGCAUCUCAUGCUUUCACCUCCAGAGCUGAGAGACAAUAAAUGUCUGUUGUUUAAGCUGCCUAGUCUGUGGUAUUUGUUACAGCAGCCCGAGCUGACUGAUACACUCCCUGUCCACUCAUUCUCGUGACCCCCAUAAGAAUCAUGGAUGGCUCCCUGUUUACCUGUCACAAGGCCAGACACAGACCUCCAAAUUCCCGUCUUUGUUUCAUAAAUGAUUAACUGAGCUGUUGUCCCCCAAAACUAGACAUAGGGAUAGACAUUUCUUGUUCAGCCAACUGACAGACUCCCGUGGUUACAAAAACGUCCCAACUGUGAAGUCACCCGCCUGGGACUUGUCUACUGCUCCCUGUAAGUGUCUAGACAAAACCACUGUGGAGACCCUCUUAUCUUUGGAUCUGGAGUGCUCUCCCUACCACUAUAGUCUGGAUAAAUCAAUGUCCUUGCCUGUUUGUUUGCCUUUGACAAGUUGGAGCUGUGUUCAGAGGGAGCUGGAAGCAUCUGGACUCCGUCUUCCAGUGCUGAGGGCUGAGACCUCUCCAGCCUGUUGUGCUCCUUCUUUGACUGUGCUCCAGGGAUCCCACGGUGAGUCCAGCUCCUGAUCUCGGCUCUGGACCUUCGUCCGCGGUAGCAUGGUAUCAGAAAGAAGUUAGCUCACCUGAGGCUUCCUAUAGAGGCUGCCGUGCUGCGGUACCCAGAGCGUGCUUCUGGAUGGCGAUUAAGCAACGGGAACAAGUUCUGGAGAAAAUUUACCACAAUCAUCCGAAGUUUGAACGCUCAUCCUCCAAGCACAAGUUGAAGGGGCUCCUUCUCCGUUGCUGUCAACUGCAGAAUGUCCUCUCCAAUGGGGAUGAGGUGUGGAGCUUAGAGAGCGUGGAUAACAUGAGCAUCGCUGGGCAGGUGAAAUGAGAAAGCACUGUGCCUGACCCCGCCCCUCUGCCGCCUCCCCCGGCUUCCUAACCACACACAGUGUAGGUCUCACGUUGCUGACUCACACGGCCCACUAGCUGGAGACAUUCUGGAGGGUUGACUGCCACAAGCCCAAAUCAUGGGUUUGUCAUGUUAUUUUCAAAUGUGGUCUUUCCUACUUUCUAUUAUGGAUGUCAGAUUUUCCUCCUUCCCUAAAAGUUAUCUUUACACACACACACACACCCCUGCAUCUGGGUGGGGGGAGGUGGACGUGCGAGACAGCAAAAAUACAUGUUAAAUUCGGGUCACCUUAUGUCUUAGGCUGCUAUAACAAAGUACCGUAGCCUAUUGGCUCACAAACAACAGAAAUUUAUUUCUCACAGGUCUGGAGGCUGAAAGUCUGAGAUCAGGGUGCCAGCAGGGUCAGGCAAGGGUCCUCUUCUGGGCUGCAGACUUCUCGUUGUAUUUUCACAUGGCAGAAAGAGGGUGAGAGAGCUCUCUGGGGUCCCUUUUAUAAGAGCACUAAUCCAACCUCAGGACCUACUCACCUCCCAAAGGCCCCACCUCCUAGCACCGUCACCUUGAGGGGGUAGGAUCUCAACAUGUGAAUUUGAGGGGGACACAGACAUUCAGUCCGCUUCAUGCCAUUUCCUCGGUUCUAGGAGGAACACUUUCUCAUGCUUUAACCAUUUUGAAAUCUCCAUGUCUUACACUCGCCGUCAACUAAGCAGCAGUGUGACAUAGUUGUCAUUGCCACUGUAUGAGCAUCAGAGCUUAGAGAAUGGGUGAGGCUUGGGGGAAAAUCCCAAGGACAACUGUGGAGCACUUUGAAAAGAAAUACGGCCUUACCAAACUCUCCUGGGAGCUCCUGAUGGCUCACAGGACAACGGUGUGUGGGAAAACAUGGAUUUCAAAGGUCCCGCAUCGAAGAGCGAUUUCAAAGAGGUAAAUUCUGACUGUGAAAAUGUUUUACACAUACCUUAACCAAUUUAUUUAGUCUAUAUUUCCCUUUUUGUGUAUGCAGAAAAGUGAUAUAUGAUUUAAAAAAUUCCAUGUCCAAAUAGAUCUAAAAGAGCUCUUUUAAUACAUUUAAAAUAAAAAUUAAAAGUGCCAAGAAAGCAUUGUGACACACGUAGUUAGAUGUCAGCGUUUCUCCUUUCUGAGUGCUCCAUUAACUGACAGCGCAUCUUACACCAAUUUAGUUUAGAUUCCGUGAAAUACAGUAGUGUUUAUGUUUUAUGUUUCAAUAGUCAUCAAUCUGUUUCUAAUGUAUUCAUGGAAAAAUAUGUGAGCCAUCUUGCCAUUAAACUGUUUUUGAAAUCGCGUGGAAGCCUGCCCAUGUCUUUGUAAUUUACUUAAGAAACUCUCUUGCUUUCGGGAGGACGAGUUUCAAUAUCGUAAGGCUCUCUCUCUGGGUAUAUUUUUGGUUAAGUUUUUGUUAAUCCUGGCAUUUGUCUAAAGCAAUGAAAGGCAAGUGAAAUUAAAAUGCUCACAUUAUAAAAUGUGCAAUCCGGAGAACAAAAACUCAGUUGUGCAAAGUUGGUGUGGCUUUGAUAAAAACAGUUCUGGUCAAAAGCCUGGCCUGUUGGCUCCAGCAGUGACUGACUUACGAUGAGGGACACAUAUGUGCGUCCUUGAGUUUUCUUGGUGGGGCCCAUGGAUUUAUUUAAUAUAUUUAAAUAGAAAAUUUUACCCUUAUCAUUGCUGCUGCAGGUGUAUUUAUUUAUACUAUCUUUGCUUUUAGAAAAACACUGCUAUAUCAUAAAAAUAUUUCAACCUUAAAUUACUUCCCACAAGCCUCAAGUUUCAGGCAGUUCAUAUCUGGGCAUAAAGAGAAAUCAAUGUAUUCUGGCUUGAAGGGCAAUGGAGUUUGGUAUUUGUCACACUUUGAGAGAUAACAAAUGCCUCGCAUAAAAUAGACCCAUUCUUUCCACUUUGCACCGUUGUUUCAGUCCGGCACUGCCACGCCGUCAUUAUGUCUGCGCUGACAGCGGUGUCCAGGCUUGCAGGAAACUGCGUUUCCGAGAAAGCUGAAUGCAGACGUCCCCCGAUUGGCGUGCACCUGCGCUAACCAGAGCUCCCACCUGAAACGAGCUCCCUGAUCUGGGGUUUGGUGCCCUGUUGGCUUUUCGAACAAACGGCUGCUCUCCCUCCCCCGCUCCCCUCACUGAAGCCCAGAUGCUCAGUGUCCCCUCCCUGCCCACUGUGGCGGGAGCCCAGGUCCCUCCUUCCGUGUUCACUCUCCUCCCUACCGUCCGAGAGCCGCUAGGGCUCCAGGUCUGGGGUCAGAGAUUGCUCCCACUGUCCCAAUACCUUGAUGGGGAGAAAGGUUUCAGCCUCUCUGAUCAGGGGGCUCCCCUGCUUGAAAGCCUUUAAUGGCGCCCGUUGUCCUGAGGGUCAGGUCCAAGCUCCUAAAGCAGCUCCCCAAACCCUCCCUCAUCUCCCGGCGCUUCUGCGCCCCUCUGCGGCGCCUGCCUCAGUCCCCAGCCCUCCGCAGCCGUUCUCCUCCCGCUGGACCUGCGUCCAGUCCCCCGACCUGCCACCCUAUCCCUGGCUCCCGCUGUGUGCGCAAGGCCUAGAGGGGGCUCAACUGGUUUUGGGGAGUCCUGCAAACGCACUGCCCCAAGCCUUGCGGUUUUGAUGGGAAAACACAUUCCAAACCAGCGUUCAAACCCGCGUGUGGGGCACAGACGCGGCCUGCACGCUUUGUUAAAGGAAUCCGGUUACAUUAGAAGAGGCUGGGCCCCGCCGCCAACCCCCUGCUCCUGUAAGAACCCCUGUGUAGGGAUUCUUACCAGAAGCUUCCAGCCGCCCACAGAAGCCAGGCCGACAUUCCGUGCCCGCCGUCUGGCACGUGAAGGCGUUGGGAACAGAAGCGGGAACGCGCCCCCUCGCGCCGCGCGGCUCCACAGCGCGCGUCCUCGGGGCCUCCGACAGGCCACCUGGGCUGCUGCGAGCUCAUUCUCGGGCGUUAACAGGUGUGGAGCUGGUAUUUAUCCGCAGCGGCGUUUCCCUGUGCGGCCGCUGCGAGCUCCCAUCUUCUUCCUAACCGCCGCAGGGCACCUUCGCUUCCCCGUGGUUCAAACAGCGCAGGAACUCUGGCUGGCUCAAGGUUUCUGAUGCCACAUCGGCAAACAUUUCUGUUACCCUUAACGAAACCAGCAGGUGACUUUUCUCUGGCCACAGUGAAAGCAGAGGCCUGCUCAGGUAAGUCCGGGACAGCGAGCCAGAGUCAGGGCCAUCCCAGGGGCGCAGAAUCUCAGGGGAGAGGACCACAGGGUGGGCCCUCUGGAAGCAUUUUCAUGCAGCUGAAGAAGGAAAGCCUACAGGGCCUCUUGGCUGAAGUGAAGAAGUGACUCUAAGCAGACAGAGAGGAGGAGGGACUCGGCGCCUGUGUGUGUGUGUGUGUGUGUGUGUGUGUGUGUGUGUGUGCAGGGUCUCUGUGGAUUGGUGACUAUGAUGAGCCUCAGGACUCACUCAGCAUCUGCUGAUGAGUUUGCCUUAUUUCCUGACCGUUUCCCAGGUCAAGUCUCUUCCUAUGACACCUACUGUUUCUCCAGCGCUCCCUCUAGCUCCAGGGCCGUCCUAGGACGUUCAUACAUGAUCUCAUUUAACCCCCAGACAGGCCUGCGGCCAGCACUAUUACCCCUCCUUAACACAGCAGGAGACGGAGCUUGGGGAGUUGACGCUACUUUUCCAAAUCCUGAAGCCAAGUCCCCAGGAUGCCACCGCCCACAAGCUGUUCUGCCACCGUUGGUCUCCCUGGGGACCAUAUGGAGAUGGGGGCCACGUCCCCUCCAAAGAUGCAGUGGAGGAAAGAGACUAAGAGCACAUUCCCAGACUUCUCAGCAUCCUUCAAAAUGUGUUUUCAGAAAUCCAGGAAAAAUGGCUGCUUGCUGAGAUUUGGGGAUAGAAAGCCUAUUUGACUGGUGAGACCUUCCUACUCUCUCCUUUUCAUUGCCCUUCUACAUUCAGUUAGCCACCUUACUCUCCUGCUUAACCCCUUUGAAUGGUGCCCAUUGCCCUCAGGGUCAGGUCUCACUCCUUAGGAUUCCCAGAUCUUCCAGAACCCUUCACUGUCAGAGCAAGCCCACUACAUUCUGUAGUUUAAAGGGUGGCAAUAAUGCCGUUUCAAUUAAACCCCUCUCAGGAAUGACUGUCAGACCUGGGUUUGUGUGAGAAAGACAUUGGGUGUUGCUGGUGGAAAGGACUUGGUUUGAGUGACUCAGGACUUGCGAACAGCUCUUACCUCAACGGAACAGUUCUUCAGCUUCUUGUCAUUUCCUGCAGAAUCCUUCAGUGUACUCAGCCUUCCCGGAGCUGGGAUGAGUCUGGCUGCUUGGCUGGGUCCUCCUCCUUUACAGCCAUCCCAGCACCCAGAGGGCGGGUCUGGUAAGGUGCGGCCUUCAGUGUGGGGGCGUGUGCCCACUCCGCUUCCUCAAAUGAGCAGCUGCCUUUCGCUGCUGGGAAAAUACUUAAGUUUUGGCUGUAGCUGAGAGAGUUUGACAAGCCUUGCAAGGCACAAACAUUCUUUAUCUGCAGGAUGAGGUUAGUUUCUGUUUGGGCCUGGUGUUUUUGUAAGAAGGAAAUCGCUUUCAUAAGCAUCAGAUUAGCUCCAGGAAGCAUCGCAGGACAAUGAAAAGCUGGUAGAGGCAGAACGUCAGGAUUUUCUCAUUGGUCACUACUGCCACCUCCUGGCCAAACUUGUGAACUACACAGUAUGGGCUUCCUAGGGAAACUGUACGUUACUCAUGCCACUCUCCCUCUUUCUGCCAGUUCUCUGUGGUGCAAAACGGAAAUGAGAAGAAUUAUUUUUUAGAUGGAGUGUUUAUUGAUAUAUAUAAUAUUAGCAACGACGAUAAAGCCGACACAAGAAUGAUGAAUAAACACACGGUGGAUUGUUCUCAAUAGGGAAAAGACUUUAUCAAAGCAAUUUAUUCCACCUUCUGACUCAGUGUUAGCUUUGUCUAAAGUAAGUCUUCAGCCCUUUUCUGAGUUGCUAAGACCUCCUGCCUGCUCUCCAAAGCUGACUUCUUAGCAAAUUUAGGUUAAUCUACCAACCAUUUUGGACAAUCAGUAAAAAAUUAAGGACUUAAGUGAAAAUUGUAGCAUAAAAAAUUAUUGAGUCUAAAGCACGUCUUUAUGCAAUAAAAAAUAUAAGAUUUGGUAUCAGUUGUUAUCCUUAUUUCAUAUUGGUUUUAUUCUUAGGAUCUUACUUUCUAGAAAUUUAAAUUUUGAGUUAGUUGAAGGAUUAUUGUAGUACACACAGUACACGUAUAUUGACAGAGGUAGAAAUAAGUUUUUCCAGUUAUUUAAAUUUUAUUUUUUGGGGGGAGGUUGUGUUUUACCUUUAAUAUCAAAUGUGCUGAGAUCCACAGGGGUUUGAUUUCAGAACCGUGUUAAGGAUAUUGGCAGAGAUUUCUCAGAAUCUUUUCUCCCCUUCUUCCUCAACAACAGAGUCUUAGCCAGUCCGGGGCCACUGUGUUAAUCUGGGUGUUCUGAAAAGCAGAUGCUAAGAAGAGACUAAACAUGUAAGGAAUUGUUUAGGGGGAAUGUCUAUUAGAGAAGAUGGGGAGUGAAACCAGACCACAAUGCAGGUCUGACCCCAAGUGCAGGAGACGGGGAGGGCAGGCAGGCUGGGUGCAGCCUCUUAGGCGCCAGUGCAGUUCUCAGGAAAGUUCUGCAAAGCUGCUGGGAUCCUUGGGAUAGGCGGAUUUCAGAGAUGAUACCCGAUGACCUCUGCCUCCUGAUACCCAUGCCCUUACGUAACCCUUUUCCUUUGAGGGUGGACUACACCUGGUGACUAGCUUCUAAGGACUAGAAUAUGACAACGUGAGGCAUGUCUCUUUCCAUGAUGCUUAGGAAAGACUGUGACUUCCAUCUUACUGGACUCUCUCUCUUGCUAAUUCUGAUGAAGCAAACUGCCAUGUUGGAAAAUUUCAUGUAACAGGGAACUGAGAGCAUCCUCCAGCCAACAGCCAGGAAAGAACUGAGGCCCUCGGUCCAUCCGUGAGAUGCUCAAUCCUGACAACCAUCGCGAGCUGAGCUUGGAAGCAGAUGCUUUCCCUGUUAGGCCUCAGAUGGGACCACAGCCCUGGCUGGCCAGUGAGAGCUCUUGAUGCAGAGGACCCAGGCAAACUGUCCCUGAUCCCUGACCUACAGAGACGGUGAGAUAAUAGAUGUGUGUUGUUUUAAAGCUACUAAGUUUUGCUGUAAUGUGUCAUGUAGCAAUAGAUGAUUAACACAGUUCUCAAGCUGAUGCUGCCCGUCGGAGAAGUCUUACGGCUUCCGGAAAGGAGCCUGCCUUAGUCUUCCUGAUGCUCAGCCACUGGCUGGGAGCAGCCUGUGGGAAGCAUGGCCUCACUGCAAAUGUGGUGAUGGAUUUCAGGGUGUAGCAGCUGGGGCCCUUGCACAGGUACACUCCCCGCAGUCAGAGAUCGGAGAGGCACAUUCUCAUUGCUGCUGCAGACACUCAGAGCAAAGAUUCCAUUUCUUACCCUCCCCUGAGGCUUGGAUGGCCUUGCGAUUGAGUUCUAGCCAAUACAGUCUAUGCAUAAGCUGUAUACACAACUUUCAGGAAGGGUCCUUAAAAGAAGCUGUUAUUCCUUCCCUGCCCUUUCUCUUAUCUUGCUGGCUGGAGUGUGAUGAAACAACUGGACCUGGACAGCCAUUUUGGACCAUGAGACAGAAGCCAUCAGUGGAGGAGGAUGAAGCCACAAAAUAAAACAAACCUAAGCCCCCCUGAUUAUGACUGCUUAGGUUUAUGGGAGUGAGAAAUAAACUUCUAACUUGUGUAAGUCACUGCUUGAUUUUCUGGCUCUUGAAACAGAAAAGAAGUCUAUGUUUUAUAUGUGAAGUCUGAAGGUUAAAGGAGUAAAUAUUUCCCAGAGGAUAAGUUGUGGCACAAAGACAAGUUUAAUUACCCAGGACUGUUACUGGGAGAUAAUAUUUAUUCCAUAUGGCGAGGGGGAGAGCAGAUCUCAGCUUCCUGUUGCGAAGAGGGUGUCCCUCUCAGUUAGCAAGGACAAGAGAAGGGAACCACCUGUGUUCAUCGUGGAGAAGUCUUUGAAAACAGCACGUGAGAAAGCAGCUAAAAUCCCCGCACUGUGUGAAGGCUAAGAACACUGGCCCCAGAGCUCACAGAGUUUGCUGAAUGAAGGGACCACAAAGAAAACCAGCUUGAUUUUAAUUGUCUGUCAAAUCUGUUGAAAACCAACUUUCUCUAAACUGAUUCUUUUUGAAGCUCUCAAAGCUUGAGGACAUAAUAAAUGUUACUCUUUGCCGGGCCUGUCAUUGAUUCAACCCAGAACCAUUCUUCAGCCAUGGCACAGGAGGAGUUUUCCGGAAGGAUAUGGCUGUUCUGAUGACUUUCAAAAUAUGAAUUUACCCAUCAAAACUUUUUGGCUAUGUUAGCCAAAGCACUUUUAGCUCUCAUGUGUAUUUUCAAUGUAUGGCAUCUGAAGGGUGGCAAAUCCCAUGUUUAUUAAAGGUUCCAUAGGUAAGGAGACGGUGCGAGGACUGGUCAGUAAUGGGCUUGAAGUGCACCAGUCUGGUUCUAGCCCUGGCUCUGCCACUGAAUUGCAUGGGCUUAAUCGGUCAGACUGUUUCCUCUUUUGCAACAUGGGGUUAGUAACAGUCCCUAGCUUAUGGGAUUGCUGUGAGGGUUAAGUCUGAUAACGCAUGAAAAGUCUUAGAGGGUCAGUAGAGUGCUGGGAAUGUUGUAAGUACACUGUAAGUUUUAGCUAUUUCUGUUAACAUUAAUACACAAUCUCCAGUCGUGUGUUGUCUGAUAUGGUACCCACUGGCCACAUGUAGCCAUUACACCCUAGGAAUGAGGUUAGUUCAAAUUCAGAUGCUGCAAGUAUAAAAUACAGACUAGAUUCUGAAGUUUUAGGAUGAAAACAAGAAUGUAGAGUAUCUUCCUAAUAAUGUUUUAAUAUUAAUUACACGUUGAAAUGCUAAUAUUUUGUAUAUAUUGUCUUAAAUGAAAUAUAUUAUUAAAAUUAACUUAACCUGUUUCUUUUUCCUUUUUCAAAAGUGUGUAUUAGGAAAUUUAAAGUUUUGUCUCUGGUUUGUAUGUCAGAUUUCUUUUGGGCAGCGUGGGUCCAGGCAGACAGAUGGGGUGGGGUGGUAAAGGGAACCAGAAAAUCACGGUCCACUUGAUCGGCAUCUGGUGGUCACUGGGAGCUCGGACAAAGGAGGCAGAGGUUUGGGGGAGGAAAUCUACUUCCCAGGGCACUGUCGGAACUCAUACAAUUCAAUUCUACAGAGAUGGACUGAGAUCAAGGAGUGGUCAUCUGAGGGAGCAGCCCUUAGUCACGUGAGUCUAAAGAUAGGCUGAAAAUCUGGGGGUCCAGACAGUGGAGGUCAGGAGACAUGCAAACCAGGAUCUGGGAUAGAGUUAAAGAUCCAGGUGGAGCAUAUUGUUGACAGAGAAGAAAAUGGCAGGUGGUUAUCAGGGGCCUUGACCAAGGGGGCAGUAGGUUAGGGGCACUGUUGAUACUGACACCGUUCAAGUCCUCAGAUAUUAAUUAGAACCUCUGACGUGCCCGACCCACUGUUAGACACUAGUGACAACACAGUGCCUGCCUGCCAGGUGCUCACAGUCCAGUGGGGAGCACAGGUAGUUAAGCAGAUCAUUGUAGCUCUGAGAGAUCAGGUGCUGUAACAGAACGUGAUGGGAGCUCCUUGUUGGGAAAGUGGAUCCAUCCUGUGGAUAAGGAACAGUUUCCUAGAGAAGGUAACAUCUCAACUAAGACCAUGAGGAAGCAGCAGGAAAAAAGGGAGCAGCAUGUGCAAAGGCCAGGAGGUCAGGAAGCCACUGUGCACUACUAGGAGCUGCCAGCCAUGCAGUGUGGCUUUGGAGCAGAUAUUCAAAGAGAACAUGGGGUGAUUGGAAGUUUGUUGGAGGUGGGAAUGGCUGGAAGCUGGAGAGAUUACAGGGGAUGGCAUCACAGAUGAAGGGGUUCGAGGGCACAAGACAGGGGGCUUUAGAGAACUUCAAGCAAAGGAGUGACGUGACCAGAUCUGUGCUUUAGAAAGAUCUCUCUGAUUGCAUUGUGGGGGUUCUGGUUCUGGGCAACAUGAACUAAACCUGUUCCACCCUGUCUCUCCCACUGCAAUCAGCUAGAAAGCCUGGAUGGAGUACAUGGAGCAGUUAUUCGAGGAAUCUGAUAGUAGCAAGCGGGCUGGGGAAGAAGAUCAGCAUUUGAAGUGCCCCUAAACAGGUGCUGAGCCCCCAUUUUUCCCUCUCUGGCAUUUCCUGGACUCAGAGCAGCCUGAAACCUGGAAGGCGGCAUCAGCACAGAGAAAGAUUCAGGACAACCUCUUUCGUUCAGGUUCAAGGAGUGAGAAGGGGCUCUCCUAAUGCUGAGGGAGUGGGAAAAUCCUUGUUUUUUCCCCUUUUCCCUGUUCUCUUGCAUCCCAGUACCUAAGCAAUCCUGAGGUGGCUUGAAGGGGAGCCCAGGCCCUAAGGGAGGGCAAACUCCUCUCUGAUUGGAGGAGCUGUGGUCCCAACAGGGUGGGCUAAACCCUUGUUGCUUUUUUUCUUUUUUUUUUUUAACUCUUUCUUCCAUCGCUUGGUCCCAGACAUGGGCUGACUUGCAGCGAGCAUGCGGCAGUGAGGUAAAUAAAGCCCCACCUUUCUGGCUAGAGACCAAAAAGAGCAGCCCCAGGGGACCAUAAAAUAUUGGAGAGACCAUGGAGGGGCAGGAGCUCAGGAAAGCAACCUCAGAAAGCUGUUCGUGAACCCCUGGGCUCCCCCAGAGCUGCACAGGCACGGAUCUGACUUGAGAGAGAAUGUCAUAGACUUUGAGAGCUGACCCACGGGAUAAACCAUAGCCCAGCGCCCAGACCGUCCACUGGGGGGCACACACGUGGGUCACAUCUGAACAGCACUGCAGAGGCUUUGAGAACGGUACUAAUAUUUAAACCGCAGCAACAGGGGACUGGUCAGAACCUGCAGCCUGAACCCAGCAGAGUCUGCUAAAUGAAGCGGUUUCCCUGCUGAAACAAGAACAUCAACAUUCCCCACAGGUUUGAAAUAAAUCCUAGAGUCUUGUAAUAUCCAAAUACAUUAUCCAGGAAAAGAAUCCAAAAUUACUUAGCAUAUAAAGAAGCCAGGAAAACCUUAAUUUCAUUGGAAAAGAACCAACCGAUGCCAAAGCCAAGAGGUCACAGAUGUUUGAAGUAUCCAACAAAGACUUUAAAGCAGCACCUGUAAGAAUGUUCCAAGAUACAAGGGCAAACCCUCUUGAAAUGAGUGGAAAGAUAGUCUCAGCAAAAUAAUAGAAGAUGCUAAAUGGAAAAAAGGGCCAAAUGGAAAUUUUAGAAGUGAAAAAUACAAUAGCCAAAAGUUUGAAAACUGAAUAGGCUCCAUGGAG